rnacentral:tRNA from 1 species
CGGCGUUGGCGGGGCGGGCGGCAGCGCCAGCCUUGCGGCGGCUGCUGGGCGUGGCUGCACGGGCGGGCUUGUUCGAGCCGAAAGCGGCGGC